rnacentral:tRNA from 1 species
AGUAAAAUGGCUGAAAUUUAGGUAAUAAAUUGUAAAUUUAUUUAUGAGACUUUAAAAUCUCUUUUACUA